rnacentral:rRNA from 1 species
CCUACGGGGUGCUGCAGUGAGGAAUAUUGGUCAAUGGCCGGGAGUCUGAACCAGCCAAGUAGCGUGAAGGAUGACUGCCCUACGGGUUGUAAACUUCUUUUAUACAGGAAUAAAGUGAGGCACGUGUGCCUUUUUGUAUGUACUUUAUGAAUAAGGAUCGGCUAACUCCGUGCCAGCAGCCGCGGUAAUACGGAGGAUCCGAGCGUUAUCCGGAUUUAUUGGGUUUAAAGGGAGCGUAGAUGGGUUGUUAAGUCAGUUGUGAAAGUUUGCGGCUCAAACGUAAAAUUGCAAUUUAUACUGGCAGUCUUGAGUACAGUUGAGGUAGGCGGAAUGCGUGGUGUAGCGGUGAAAUGCUUAGAUAUCACGAAGAACUCCGAUUGCGAAGGCAGCUUACUAAACUGCAACUGACAUUGAGGCUCGAAAGUGUGGGUAUCAAACAGGAGUAGAUACCCGUGUAGUC